rnacentral:rRNA from 1 species
GGGUUGUGAGGUUAAGCGACUAAGCGUACACGGUGGAUGCCCUGGCAGUCAGAGGCGAUGAAGGACGUGCUAAUCUGCGAUAAGCGUCGGUAAGGUGAUAUGAACCGUUAUAACCGGCGAUUUCCGAAUGGGGAAACCCAGUGUGUUUCGACACACUAUCAUUAACUGAAUCCAUAGGUUAAUGAGGCGAACCGGGGGAACUGAAACAUCUAAGUACCCCGAGGAAAAGAAAUCAACCGAGAUUCCCCCAGUAGCGGCGAGCGAACGGGGAGCAGCCCAGAGCCUGAAUCAGUGUGUGUGUUAGUGGAAGCGUCUGGAAAGGCGUGCGAUACAGGGUGACAGCCCCGUACACAAAAAUGCACAUACUGUGAGCUCGAUGAGUAGGGCGGGACACGUGGUAUCCUGUCUGAAUAUGGGGGGACCAUCCUCCAAGGCUAAAUACUCCUGACUGACCGAUAGUGAACCAGUACCGUGAGGGAAAGGCGAAAAGAACCCCGGCGAGGGGAGUGAAAAAGAACCUGAAACCGUGUACGUACAAGCAGUGGGAGCACGCUUAGGCGUGUGACUGCGUACCUUUUGUAUAAUGGGUCAGCGACUUAUAUUCUGUAGCAAGGUUAACCGAAUAGGGGAGCCGAAGGGAAACCGAGUCUUAACUGGGCGUUAAGUUGCAGGGUAUAGACCCGAAACCCGGUGAUCUAGCCAUGGGCAGGUUGAAGGUUGGGUAACACUAACUGGAGGACCGAACCGACUAAUGUUGAAAAAUUAGCGGAUGACUUGUGGCUGGGGGUGAAAGGCCAAUCAAACCGGGAGAUAGCUGGUUCUCCCCGAAAGCUAUUUAGGUAGCGCCUCGUGAAUUCAUCUCCGGGGGUAGAGCACUGUUUCGGCAAGGGGGUCAUCCCGACUUACCAACCCGAUGCAAACUGCGAAUACCGGAGAAUGUUAUCACGGGAGACACACGGCGGGUGCUAACGUCCGUCGUGAAGAGGGAAACAACCCAGACCGCCAGCUAAGGUCCCAAAGUCAUGGUUAAGUGGGAAACGAUGUGGGAAGGCCCAGACAGCCAGGAUGUUGGCUUAGAAGCAGCCAUCAUUUAAAGAAAGCGUAAUAGCUCACUGGUCGAGUCGGCCUGCGCGGAAGAUGUAACGGGGCUAAACCAUGCACCGAAGCUGCGGCAGCGAC